AAACGUUGUAUCAAAACAUUGGCACGCACCUCAAAUGUGUUUUAUUUCAUAACUCUGCUGCACAAGUAGCGCUUUUGCUAGUUCACAGUUACCAUAUUAAGUGUGUGUAUUACUGUGUCUCUCUCUCUCUCUCCUAGCUAAGGGCCUUGAGGCGGCGCCGAUGGGGUAAACUGGACUAAAACGGUUCUGCCUAAAGUGGCCCGCAUGACCGUCUCAGGGAAGAGAUGUACCGAGAUUGUUUCAACCCCCACCCUAGAGGUUGAUAGACAAGCCCUUCAGACUGAGUGUCUCAGACGUGGUUAAAGAUCAGGGUUCUGUGUAACAAGGUAGAUGGAGGCUGGGUACAUUCAGACAGGAGACAUGAGAGUACUGGCCAUACCCCCCCUCCUCCCUACGAGACAUGCUGUUAAAAGACAUCACUCUCCACGAUGAGCCUCUGGACGGGACAUCAUCAAGAUCAAGUAAAUACUGUACAUCACAGUUAAUGUAGACCACGGUUUAUAACAUGAAUAUGGACCAGUUUAUAACAUGAAUGUGGACCAGUUUAUAACAUGAAUAUGGACCAGUUUAUAACAUGAAUAUGGACCAGUUUAUAACAUGAAUAUGGACCAGUUAUAACAUGAAUAUGGACCAGUUUAUAACAUGAAUAUGGACCAGUUUAUAACAUGAAUAUGGACCAGUUUAUAACAUGAAUAUGGACCAGUUUAUAACAUGAAUAUGGACCAGUUUAUAACAUGAAUAUGGACCAGUUUAUAACAUGAAUAUGGACCAGUUUAUAACAUGAAUAUGGACCAGUUUAUAACAUGAAUAUGGACCAGUUUAUAACAUGAAUAUGGACCAGUUUAUAACAUGAAUAUGGACCAGUUUAUAACAUGAAUGAUCCUUUAAACUAGUGUUGCUAUUGUGAUUGUUGUAGUCAUCAAUUGUCCCUUUAACAAUAAAGUUAAUGAGUCUCCUCCAGUGUGUCUGUAUUAACCCUGUACUGUAUUGACCCUGUACUGUAUUAACCCUGUACUGUAUUGACCCUGUACUGUAUUGACCCUGUACUGUAUUAACCCUGUACUGUAUUAACCCUGUACUGUAUUGACCCUGUACUGUAUUGACCCUGUACUGUAUUAACCCUGUACUGUAUUAACCCUGUACUGUAUUAACCCUGUGCUGUAAUGUUAAUGAGUCCAGUGUGUCUGUUGUGUGUUCUGUGAUAUCAAGGAGCCAAUCAGAUUGUGUUCCUGCUUCAGGGCCAGAUUUCUGCUUUUCAACUUAAAAGUCCCCAUCACACAGGGCUUUGCUCAAUCUCAGACUGGCCAAUAAAAAGAAAAGAUUAAAGUGGGCAAAAGAACACAGACAGUGGACAGAGAUAUGGCUUUUUCUUUGCAACUCUGCCUAGAAGGCCAGCAUCCCGAGGUCGCCUUUUCACUGUUGACGUUGAGACUGGUGUU
ensembl:lncRNA